rnacentral:rRNA from 1 species
GAUGAACGCUAGCUACAGGCUUAACACAUGCAAGUCGAGGGGAAACGACAUCGAAAGCUUGCUUUUGAUGGGCGUCGACCGGCGCACGGGUGAGUAACGCGUAUCCAACCUGCCCAUCACUUGGGAAUAACCUUGCGAAAGUAAGACUAAUACCCAAUGACAUCCCACGAAGACAUCUGAAUGGGAUUAAAGAUUUAUCGGUGAUGGAUGGGGAUGCGUCUGAUUAGCUUGUUGGCGGGGUAACGGCCCACCAAGGCAACGAUCAGUAGGGGUUCUGAGAGGAAGGUCCCCCACAUUGGAACUGAGACACGGUCCAAACUCCUACGGGAGGCAGCAGUGAGGAAGAUUGGUCAAUGGGCGAGAGCCUGAACCAGCCAAGUAGCGUGCAGGAGGACGGCCCUAUGGGUUGUAAACUGCUUUUAUAAGGGAAUAAAGUGGGUCUCGUGAGACUUUUUGCAUGUACCUUAUGAAUAAGGACCGGCUAAUUCCGUG